UACUCGAGUGGCGAACGGGUGAGUAACACGUGGGUGAUCUGCCCUGCACUUCGGGAUAAGCUUGGGAAACUGGGUCUAAUACCGGAUAGGAGCCAUCUUUAGUGUGGUGGUUGGAAAGUUUUUUCGGUGUAGGAUGAGCUCGCGGCCUAUCAGCUUGUUGGUGGGGUAAUGGCCUACCAAGGCGGCGACGGGUAGCCGGCCUGAGAGGGUGUACGGCCACAUUGGGACCGAGACACGGCCCAG
rnacentral:rRNA from 1 species